UACAGAGGUCCCAAGCGUUGUUCGGAUUCACUGGGCGUAAAGGGCGCGUAGGUGGUUCUGUAUGUCUACCGUGAAAGCAUACAGCUCAACUGUAUUUUGUCGGUAGAAACUGCAGGACUUGAGGCUGGGAGGGGCUGGUGGAAUUCCCUGUGUAGCGGUGAAAUGCGUAGAUAUCGUAAGGAAGACCAGUGGCGAAGGCGGGUCUCUGGACAGUUCCUGACGCUGAGGCACGAAGGCCAGGGGAGCAAACGGG
rnacentral:rRNA from 1 species